GUAGAAUAUCAUCCAAAAGGACAGCAAUUGUUCUCUUCAAGUCAGCUAUGAAGAAAAAGAAGCGAAAUAAGGCAUUAGAAGAACAGACAAUAUGGAACGAAAAAAUGAAACCACAUGGACAAAUUAAAUUGCUACAGGUAGGACUACACGAACGAUUUUGGCACGAUCCGACGCGCUGCGACAAAACUCGUGACAAAAAUAAGGUAAGAGAUAGAAUUGUUGCAUGGUGUCGCAACGCUGAUACGAAGCGACACGACUGUUGGAUCUCUUAAUGACCUCUACCCUAUCCAGUAGUUGUGUGACACAUAUAACAGCUGUGAUUACACAGAGCUCAUUAUCUCUUAAUUAAACAAACUCGCCUGAUUACAGAGGCAACAAUGGAAGGUAGAACGGGUAACACAUCAAUGACCUUUUGCGCGUUAAAAUAGAAAAUAUGAAUUAUUUAACUAAAUCCACCCAUGUUUUUGUUUGCAUAAUGAUACAAAAUGUAAUUAAAAGCAUUUUGUCAAUAUACAAUAAUUGAUUUUAAGGCUAUUUGUAAUUGCAUUAGAAAGAAAUAUGUUUAUCCUUUUCUCUUCUUUAGUUCUAUCUCUUGAAACAAUAUAGCAGAGGUAAGUUCUCCUCCAGGUCUUAUAACAGAUACUACUUCCAAGAACCAUUACGUUUGCAAACAGCUGGAAAAGAGAUGAAAUGUUUUCAAUAAAUAUACAAGUAUAUUGGAACUUUGCUUAGAUUUGCAGUUUCUAAACACUAACAAUUUAAUAACUAUAAUAAUUACAUCACUGUAUACAUGAGAAAUACGAAUAGGUUUGCUUUAUAGCUUACCAUAUCCUGCCAUGGAGCCUCCAUUUCCACCAACGCAAGCCCAUCUACAGGUCCGACCUCCCCACCCCACAGUAAAAAAAAUUAUUGGUGGCUAGGGUUCCCACAUGUUAAUAAAAAAUAAAAAGA